UUCAUUGUUUAUUUGCGAAGAAGGGAAAAAGCACGUGUUUGUUGCAAAAAAAUUAUAAGCUGAAGAGAAAAGUGAAUUAUAACGAACAAGGGCUACAUUUAUCAUUUGUGCCUCAUUUGGGGGCUGUUCGGGCACCAAAUCAUCGUCGUCGUUGUCGCCUGGGUCAUCCAUGUGUUCCAGGAUCUCAUGCUCUGGAGGUAGUGGAACGUUUCGUGCAACCAUAAAAUUGUGUAGGAUUGCACACGCAUUGAUGAUACUGCCCGCUUUCACUGGUGCAUAUUUAAGCACCCGUUCUUGGAUUAAACACCGAAAUCUGGCCUUUAAUACACCGAUACACCGUUCAACACAUGAUCUUGCACGUCGGUGUGCUAUGUUGAAACGAUGUUCAGGGGUACCAUCUGCAGGAUUCCUUACUGGUGUUAUAAGAUAUGGUUGUAAGGGGUAACCACUAUCACCUGAAGAAUUCAUUGCCAUAACAUUUCAAAUGCAAUUUUGUUAGUUACCCAAGAGCCAAGACGUUCUAUCGCCCCCUGUGAAUCUCUGCUCCAAAAUACGAGCAAUAUUGCUUUGCCGCCAAAUGAACGCAUCAUGGGUUGCACCCCCAUGUGCGGCAUUAAUUCCAAAUAUUUUGUUAUUUGGACCACAGACCUAGGAAAUUUUACUUUUAAAUCAAGAAACUCAUCAAAAAGAGAUAAUUAAUACAAUCUGAACAUUUUUUGAGUGAAAACCUUUGCGGUUUAGGUACUGGUGUUCAAUAUUCAAUGUUGGCUUCGUUAUCGCAAUAUGGGUGCCAUCCACAAACCCAAUUACACCCGGCACAUUAUAACGUUCCAUGAAUCUGUAUGAAUAAGGGGAAUAAGUUGUUUUGAAAAGCUGAUGGUAUGCAUACGUUGUUUUUAUUGCAGCAUAUUCUUCUGCGUUUGGAAAGCCGAUGAAAUCGCCCAAACGGUUCUCGAUAGCGGCAGCUACCUCAGUUAUGGCGAGGGAAAUCUGAGAUUGGGACAAAUUGACGAAACAAUCUUGCCCCACACAACGCUGGUAACUACCGCUAGCAAAAAACCUAAUUGCAGCCAAAAUUCGGUGCUGCUUGGAAGUCUUGUGUACUCUUGCCCCAAGGAUUAAGUGUGGUUCCAACAAUUCGAUUAGUUCUCUCAUUGUGGCUUUAUUAAAUCGGAACAACUCCAUAAAACUAAACAUAUUUGUUUGUUAAAUAAUAGUUAAAUAAAACAUUAACAAUUA